rnacentral:snRNA from 1 species
AUAACUUUCUCGGCCUUUUGGCUAAGAUCAGGUGUAAUAUCUGUUCUUAUCAGAUUUGAUACGGUUCAUCAGCUCACAUGAUAUUAACUCAAUUUUCUGUAGCUUAU